rnacentral:rRNA from 1 species
UACGUAGGGUGCGAGCGUUGUCCGGAAUUAUUGGGCGUAAAGGGCUCGUAGGCGGUUUGUCACGUCGGGAGUGAAAACUCAGGGCUUAACCCUGAGCUUGCUUUCGAUACGGGCAGACUAGAGGUAUGCAGGGGAGAACGGAAUUCCUGGUGUAGCGGUGAAAUGCGCAGAUAUCAGGAGGAACACCGGUGGCGAAGGCGGUUCUCUGGGCAUUACCUGACGCUGAGGAGCGAAAGUGUGGGGAGCGAACAGG